rnacentral:rRNA from 1 species
ACGGGAGGCAGCAGCUAAGAAUAUUCCGCAAUGGACGGAAGUCUGACGGAGCGACGCCGCGUGGGCGAUGAAGGUCGGAAGAUUGUAAAGCCCUUUUUAAGCCGAAGAAGAAGGCCGCCAGGAAAUGGGCGGCCGGUGACUGUAGGCUUGGAAUAAGCGACGGCUAAUUACGUGCCAGCAGCCGCGGUAACACGUAAGUCGCGAGCGUUGUUCGGAAUUAUUGGGCGUAAAGGGCGUGCAGGCGGACAGGCAGGCUUGGCGGUAAAUGUGCGGGCUCAACUUGCACAUGCGCCGAGAACCUUUUGUCUAGGGUUGCCGAAGCGGUGCUGGAAUUCCGGGUGAAGGGGUGAAAUCUGCAGAUAUCCGGAAGAACACCAAUGGCGAAGGCAGGCAUCGGGCGGACGACCGACGCUGAGACGCGAAGGUAUGGGGAGUGAACAGGAUUAGAUACCCUGGUA